UGGGGGAUAUUGCACAAUGGGAGAAAGCCUGAUGCAGCGACGCCGCGUGGGGGAUGAAGGCCUUCGGGUUGUAAACUUCUUUUGCUCUGAACAAGGCAUGCCUUUGGGGUGUGUUGAGUGUAGGGGUUGAUUAGCGCCGGCUAACUACGUGCCAGCAGCCGCGGUAAUACGUAGGGCGCGAGCGUUGUCCGGAAUUAUUGGGCGUAAAGGGCUUGUAGGUGGCUGGUUGCGUCUGUCGUGAAAGCUCAUGGCUUAACUGUGGGUUUGCGGUGGGUACGGGCUGGCUUGAGUGCAGUAGGGGAGGCUGGAAUUCCUGGUGUAGCGGUGGAAUGCGCAGAUAUCAGGAGGAAUACCGGUGGCGAAGGCGGGUCUCUGGGCUGUUACUGACGCUGAGGAGCGAAAGCGUGGGGAGCGAACAGG
rnacentral:rRNA from 1 species